CAUCAGGUUACUAAACCGGGUCAACACAAUCUCCUCCUUAUAUGAAAGAUUACAACCAGGAGAGAGACAAGUUCAAAGUCUGUUUUGAGAAAAGAAUUAUUUACCUCUUACCAUAUUUUAAAUUUAUUUCAAUGUUUAUUCAAUUUUAUGGUAAAGUAUGUAUUUACUAGUUUAAGAACAUUGAUAAGUGCUAUGAAAAGAUAACUAAAUUAUAAAUUAUUCAGCACUUAUCA
rnacentral:lncRNA from 1 species